GGUAUUUCACAUGUAAACUCUCUCUAGCUGUGGUAUGAGAGAUUAGGAUCUCUUCGAGUGAGAUUCAGAUCAGCAAAAAAGGAAAUUUAGUUCUUUACUGCUUAAAGACACAGUAAUGGCAGCACCUCCCACAUCAGCGUCCAAGGGGCUCCUGGGAGGGGCAGCUGCUCUUCAGCUGGACGGAGAUUUUCAGCCAGAUCUUAACAGUGUAUAAGGGAAGAAAAAUAUGGAACAGAUUUGCCUUCACUGGGAAAACAUUGUCCUUCUCCCUAUGGCCCAGUCCCUGCCACGUCAGGGACAGCACUGUCAGUGUCCUGGCAAGGGGCAUUCUCCCACUGC